UACACUCCUGCGGGAGGCAGCAGUGGGGAAUAUUGCACAAUGGGCGCAAGCCUGAUGCAGCCAUGCCGCGUGUAUGAAGAAGGCCUUCGGGUUGUAAAGUACUUUCAGCGGGGAGGAAGGCGAUAAGGUUAAUAACCUUGUCGAUUGACGUUACCCGCAGAAGAAGCACCGGCUAACUCCGUGCCAGCAGCCGCGGUAAUACGGAGGGUGCAAGCGUUAAUCGGAAUUACUGGGCGUAAAGCGCACGCAGGCGGUCUGUCAAGUCGGAUGUGAAAUCCCCGGGCUCAACCUGGGAACUGCAUUCGAAACUGGCAGGCUAGAGUCUUGUAGAGGGGGGUAGAAUUCCAGGUGUAGCGGUGAAAUGCGUAGAGAUCUGGAGGAAUACCGGUGGCGAAGGCGGCCCCCUGGACAAAGACUGACGCUCAGGUGCGAAAGCGUGGGGAGCAAACAGGAUUAGAAACCCUGGUAGUCCCAUGA
rnacentral:rRNA from 1 species